rnacentral:rRNA from 1 species
AUUGAACGCUGGCGGCAGGCUUAACGCAUGCAAGUCGAGCGCCCCGCAAGGGGAGCGGCAGACGGGUGAGUAACGCGUGGGAACGUGCCCUUUGGUUCGGAACAACUCCGGGAAACUGGAGCUAAUACCGGAUAAGCCCUUCGGGGGAAAGAUUUAUCGCCAAAGGAUCGGCCCGCGUCUGAUUAGCAAGUUGGUGGGGUAAUGGCCCACCAAGGCGACGAUCAGUAGCUGGUCUGAGAGGAUGAUCAGCCACACUGGGACUGAGACACGGCCCAGACUCCUACGGGAGGCAGCAGUGGGGAAUAUUGGACAAUGGGCGCAAGCCUGAUCCAGCCAUGCCGCGUGAGUGAUGAAGGCCUUAGGGUUGUAAAGCUCUUUUGUCCGGGAAGAUAAUGACUGUACCGGAAGAAUAAGCCCCGGCUAACUUCGUGCCAGCAGCCGCCGUAAUAC